AUCAAGUCAGAAUUACAGAUCGAAUUAAAGCAAAAACAAAGGUGGCAACCUCACUGGACUCGCUCAGUAAAAGCCAGUGGAGUCUUGGUCAAAGGCCAGACAAACUUUACGAUUAAUCUGACUGACAUUACCAAGGAUAUGCCCCCAAUGGAAUCAAUAUUGACUGUAAAAGUAAUAGCAACUGUAAAAGAUAACCUCAACGGUCAAGUGGUCACUGGGGAUGGAAUAGUGGUUUUAGUUCCCAAUUAGUAUAUUGUAGCCUGUGCCGAUUUUUUGUGCUUUAUGCCUUGGACAGCAGCACAAUGAGAUUUCCAUCCAUAUUCAAAACUUGGACGAAUCUUUGAUCAACGACACAGAGUCGGAAGUCAAGAUUGCACUUACCGGAGCCAUGGAUCUUAAAAUGAAAAGAAGAAAGAAAUGGUCUUAUAUAUAAUGGCGUGCGACAUUGCAAGAAGUUCCAUCUUUUACAUAGAAGCAAGUACAUAUGUGGCAAAUUGGUAUUAAAUCCAGAAGAGUGCCUAAACUAGAAGAACAGGAAUGACUGGUGACUUUGAGUCAGGAUGGAAGGUGCAGACCCAAGACGAUGGGUCCAUUGAUCAUUCCAGUUAACCAGUCAAGGUUCUGCUGUGAGUGCAGCAGGAGGUACAUUUAGUUCUGUUUUAUCCUUCGAAGAAUAUGAUCAUUUAAGUGUCUUGAAAUUCAAUGAUGAGUUCUGUUGGUUGCUUAAAAGUCCUUGUUUGUGUAUUAUGUUCGUGGUUGAACGUUUAUGUGUUGGCAAGCAAUGUGGGGUAAGUUAGCACUAUUUAACACUAUAAAAUUUGAAAACCUGUUUGCGAAAAUACCCUUUGUGAUUAUAUUUAUAAAUGUAUGAUAGCUGUUUGAUAGAUAACAUGAAACAAA